GGAUUUUCAGAUCCUAAAGAAGUUACUUAGACAAUGCAGAGUCCUAACAGGGAAGUGAAUUUCUAGAGAAAAAUUAGAAGAAGCGGAAAGAGCACUCCUCUCCAUCGCCCACCGCCCAGUGCCCAAAUCUACGAACAGUAAGAAGAAAAAUAUGCUGAAAGCUUUAACUGGACUGCAAUUUCAGCCGAAAACACAAUUAAGAGAAAGUGAGCUGCGACUUCAACUUGGUCUGGAAUCCGGGGCCCAGCAGAUUAAAUUUUACAUGCAGUUUUCAUACCAAUCCAUGUUUCACAGACUUUUUCCAGAAAGGCCUAAAGUUUCUUCAGGUCAAUUAACUUCAUUU